rnacentral:rRNA from 1 species
GAUAUGAACUCUCCGAAAAAAUUACGCUGUUAUCCCUAAGGUAAGUUAAUCUUAUAAUCAAAAAUUCUGGAUCAAAAAAACAUAAAUUAAUGAAUAAAAUAUUAAAAGUUAAAUAAAUUUUAAUGUCACCCCAACAAAACUUUAUAUUCUAAAAAAUUAUUUAAUAAACAAAAAAUAAUAAUUAAUAAAUAAAGUAAACUUCUAUAGGGUCUUCUCGUCCUAUAAAAAAAUUUUAGCCUUUUAACUAAAAGAUUAAAUUCAAAAUAAUUAAAAAAAGAAAGUUUAUUUUUCAUCAAACCAUUCAUACUAGCCUUCAAUUAAAAGACAAAUGAUUAUGCUACCUUCGUACAGUUAAAAUACCGCAGCCUUUUAAUUCAUAAAAAUCAAUGGGCAGGUCUGAUCUUAAAUUAAAAUCAAAAGACC